ensembl:lncRNA
GUGAAAUUCAGACCAAGACUGACUUCAAAGAAAUACUGUAAAGUCUUUCGAUUUUCACUUUUAUAUUUAAUUCAUUUAUUGAUUUAUUUGUAUUUUUAUGUAUUAGAUUAAUGUCAUGCUCUGAACCACCUUUUACCUUUCUGUAUAUGUUAGCUUGCUUUUGCUUUAUCAUAAAUGUUAGCAUGCUAAAUUUGAACAUAUCAAGUAAAAAUCAUUUAAACAAGAAUAAAAGCAUCUUCAGUGAAUGAUGAGAUUCGAAACGUCACUAGACAUUUCUAUACUUAAUAUUUAAUUCAUUCCUGUUUUCUGCUGUGCACUGAAUCCAUCUCAGAUGUCUUAACUCUCUCUCUCUCUCUCUCACACACACACACACACACACACACACACGUACGUCUCAAAAGGCCUUGGCACAUCAUUCACUAUAACUCAAUGCAGGCUUGAAUUUUUAAAGGGCCUCGUUCCACCCCAGGCAGGACUGUUUCUCUGAGAUGCAUUAUGCUGUGUGUUUUGUAUUCUUCACGUCAUUUCGGCCUGAUACUGCCUAAAUGUGCUUCUAAAUCUAACCAAAGAUCUUUUACUUGAUAUCAGAGGCUGAUUUGUGAUUAGAUGUGGAGCCUGAAGGUCAAAAUCACCCUUGAGAGCAUCUCCCAAAGAAUCGCCAGCAGCGCGAGGGCCGGGACGAUGAUGGCCGUCCGCCAGCAGGAGACUGCAGGGGAUCUGGCUGGCAGAGCCGCCUAUAAUCACUGCUGAUGGGCCCUUAUUAGCCACGCUUGUCUGAGGACGUCACCCAGGAGCCCGUGUGGAAGGGGACGGGGACACAUCUGCUGAUCCAAACCACAAUCAUCUCACAUGACUGCAGGCCAGCGGCAAACGCCAAACAGUAUUAUGCAAGGAUAUUGAAUAUAAGAAAUCAAAAGUCACCCAGUUUUUUUGUUCGAUUAGUAAAUGUCUUUUUGAGCAUGAUUUAUGAAACACUGUUUUACAGAAGGAAAACAAGCUUUGAGCCAACAAAAUCCUGAUGGUUACAACAGAGUCAUUGCAUUAUUUUCUAUUCAAUUUCCUUUCAUUUACUUGUGAACGGCAUUUCACGUUGUUUUUAAACCUGUAAAAUAGUACAUAAAUACAGUAAGCACCUCAACAGGAAGAAACAAUAAG